UCCGGCCCUCCCCGGCGCGGGGUUUCUCCACCACUCCCCCGCCUGGUUCCGCGAGACGCCCUCGCCCACCUUUCCCCCGCUAGUGGCAAACUGGGAAGUGGCCAGAGAUACAGCUCUGCAGCCCACCCUCUUCAUUUCUUCCAGCCAAAUUUAUCUUCAGUGACCAGAACUCUGGCAAAAAAAGAGAUCACAUCUCUUUUUUCCCACUUAUGUCUUCUACCUAAAGCUGCUCCCGAGGGCACUGAUGCCCCAGCACGUCCGGCCUGCACCGGCGCAGGGGCUGAGCUCCUAUCCCAGAGAAGUCCUCACUCAGCCUGAGAGUCCCUGGUAGGAGAAGCCUUUGGGUUGCUGACAAGUGGUUCUCAGAACGUGCUCUCUGGCUCAGCAGCAGCACCUGGAGUGCAGAUUCUCGGGCCCCACUGCAGCCCUCCUGAGCAGAACCCAAGGAGGUAGGACCCAGAAAUCCACGACCAGCCCUCCAAGUGUUCCUGAUACACACUAAGGUUGGAGAACCUCGGAUGUAGACAAAACACUGUGCUGAGAGAUGUAACCACAGAGUGGUGGACUGGUUUCUAGUCUCACUCAGAUGAAUCUGCUGGGAGAGAUUUAUUUAUCUACCACAGAGAUGCCUGAGAAAUACCAAACACUGUGUUCUAUGGCUCCAUUUUGUCAUCAGGGAAGUUGUGAAUAAUUCCUUGUGGAACUUUUGGAAGAUUACCGAAUAUGGUUACUGGGUCAGCAGGACAGAGAAACCUUCCAGCAAGCCUCAUACCUGCCUUCAUUGUGACACUGAGCCCCCUCGGAUGGACUACAGACACAGAACUACAAAGACACACCCACCUACACCCUCAAGGGGCUGAGGCCCAGAACAAGGAGCAGCCUUUCCUAGGAGGAGAAUCAGUCUCUGUCUUGCCUGUAAAUGGCUCAUGGUUUGCAGACUCUCAAAAGGACGUAUCAGAAUCACCUGGAAGGCUUUAGAAGCACAGAUUGCUGGGCCCCACCUCCAGAGUUUCUGAUUUAGAAGAUCUGUGGUAGAGUCUGAGAAUUUGCUUUUCUAACAAGAGGAUAAAACACUGUAAAAAAAGAAAAGAAAAGAAAAGAAAAGGAAAGCUGAAGCAGAAAUUUUUCUGCAAACAAGCACAAUUUCCAGGGAAACUUCUAGUGAGUGUUUCAUACUUUUAAAUUCUAUAAGAUCUGUGGCUAGAGCAUUGAUGUGGUAAUUAUGACUUUGGUAAACUUAAAUGCUGAUCUUCAGAGAAUGACUACUUUAAAAUCAGAAACUCUUAAAACCUGGGAUUUUGAGCUGGAAGAGAUCUUAGAAUCUGUGCAGCCUAACCUCUUAAUUUUAGACAUACGGACACUGAGGCUUGAGAGGUUAAAACCACACAAUGUGUUGUUAUUAGGGUCCAAAUCUCCUGGCUUCCAAUGCAGUGUCUUUUAAUAAGUAAGAAAUAGUAGUUUGUGGAUUACCAUUUCCAUUAUCUUAUUUUCACAGUAGGCAAAGUGGAUAUUUUUAUCCUUUCUAAUUUUAUAAGUGAAAAACCUGAGAUUUGGAUUUGGAGAGAACUGCUUAUUUCACAUAGCUCAUAAAAUUAGGACUAGAUUCUGGGCCUUAUGACCCCUGGUCCAGGGCUUUUUUUUUUUUUUUUUUUUAAAUUAUAUCACGCUGUCUGUGAUGUUCAGUAUAAAAAGCAAGGAAAUAAACUAAUAUAUUUUUGAGAAAGAGUUAGCAACAGACACUAAUCUGGUUCAUCUCUGAAUUCCUCAUAGAGCGAUAUACCAUGUACAUAAUGGUCACUCAAUAAAUAUUUGUAAUAUGAAAUGAGUACGUGAAGGA